UACAGGGGGUGCAAACGUUGUUCGGAAUUACUGGGCGUAAAGCGUGCGCAGGCGGCUUCUCAAGUCAGGGGUGAAAGCCCAGAGCUCAACUCUGGAAUUGCCUUUGAGACUGAGUGGCUUGAGUACGGGAGAGGUGAGUGGAAUUCCCAGUGUAGAGGUGAAAUUCGUAGAUAUUGGGAAGAACACCGGUGGCGAAGGCGGCUCACUGGCCCGUAACUGACGCUCAUGCACGACAGCGUGGGGAUCAAACAGG
rnacentral:rRNA from 1 species